rnacentral:misc_RNA from 1 species
AAGUCGUAACAAGGUUUCCGUAGGUGAACCUGCGGAAGGAUCAUUAUCGUGGGGCUUCGGCCCCGUCGAGAUAGCACCCUUGCCUUUAUGAGUACCUUGGUUCCCUCCCCCGUACCCUCGGGGAGCGGGGGGGACCUCGUCUGUUUCCCCAACGGUAGCCCCGCGGGGACACGAAACACGCUGUAAACACCUGUAACAGUCUGAUAAACAAACCAAAAAAAUCAAAACUUUCAACAACGGAUCUCUUGGUUCUG